CCUAAAAUUACCUAACCUGAACGCCCUUCACUACGAGGAGAGCCAGUGGAAUGAACAUUGAGACUGCGGCCCGUUUAAAACCCAUUUCCCCAGGGUCAGAACCCAUCCUUGGAGCUGACCGCAGUUUUAGAUUGGAACGUACGUUUGAGUGACUCAGCAGUAUUCAGAGGAUGUGUGGGUUGGGAUGUCCUCAAAAAGGGACCCUUUUGUGCGAGAAUGAUGAGGUGGAGAUCAUCCGUUUGCUGCCUUUAAGACAGCAUGGAAAUUAAGGGAACACAGAGAGGAUUUGCUGUCAUCAGUUUCGGCCUUAGGUAGUUAUCCGUUAAUCAGGUGGACUUUGAUCCUCAUAGCAUUGGGUUUGGGAAGGAAAUGUUCCGAAGCCAGUGGAUAUUUUAUUUUAUUCUGUGAGGAUUAGAAAAGGUGGGGGGGGGGGCGUCGCAAGACAGGCCUGGCCCAGAAAACAAGGUCACGUUCUCUGCGCAGCAGCAGCCAGAUUGCCUCAUCAUUCUUGGCUACGGGGUGUGUGGGGGCAGCCAUCCUUCCUCCGGUAUUUAUUCUGAACACAUUGUACCUGGUCACAGUAAGGAAGGGCUGAGACCUUUUUUUUCUUGGAUAUUGGACGCUGGUUUAUGUAAUAGGAACUAGUGCAGGCAGUGAGGAGGAACAGAAGAAAUAUUAAGGUAUCGUUCUGCAUCCGGGCGUUUUUCCCAUCACCCCCUUCCACUGCCUCCUGCCUGGUUUUUCUCUAAUGUGGGCUGCGCAGCCCAGUUGGAAGGCAGAAAUCUUUAAAGUGGGGUAGAGGAAACUACCACCGUUGAGUUUUGGAGAUGAGAAACCAGAGACUAGAGAAACUAGAAACUAGAGAGUGUGCUCUUUAUCUGCGGGCAGGGAAAUUAGGAUAAAUACUACGUAUAAUUUACACGUAAAGGAAUUGCGAUUUUCUGAUUGUGAAUGGUACUCCCGUCCUUUCCAAUCCUCAUUUAACUUUCAUGUUCUUACAGCACCCACCAGCGACCUGGGCUUUAUAAAGCUCUUGCAGUCCUUUUCCUAUAAAGUAGAGGAGACGUUAGGGCCAUUCCAUUCCCCAGGAAUUACAUACAAAAGGGUUUUCAGCUAAAAAAAAAGAGCCAGCCUUAUUACCCAGUAAAGGAUCCUUCACAGGUUACUUUCCUGGUCUCUGAACCUUGAAUGACUGCUUUGAAAAUUUUCCCCCAAGAAAGGUGAUACCCAUGCUUGUCUUGAAAAUGACAACUAACUUUUAUUGCUAGCUUACCAGGUACCUGGGAGUAUUCUCAGAGCUCUGUCUAAUAUUCAUUCACUUAGUCCUCCCAGCAUUAUAACCCCAUUCUGCAGGUGAAGGACCCGAACCCAGAGAAAUGAAGUCACCCCCUAAAAGGUCUCACAGGGCUGGUAUGUGGCAGAGCUGGGAACCCCCACCCUGGCUGUUGGGCCUCCCAUGCCAUCUAUUUUCUCAGUGUCUAAUGCAGUUCUAUUAAGCAGAAUUAUUUUAAAUUCAAAUACCUCACACUGUUAGGUAUUGGAAAUAGCAGAGUAAACUGUAGUUGCCCUUAAGAGUUCACAGAUGGUGGUAUGAUGGUAGAAAAGCGUCCCAGUCAGCAGAACGGCUACCGUUUAUUCAGAACUCUCUCAGUAUAAAGCUCUGUUCCAGUGGUUCUGUGGAAGUCACAGACUCAGAAUCAUAGCUAUUCCUAAAUCAAGUUAAAUUUUCCAUAUACUUCCUCAAAACAGCUGUUUCCAUUUUAGUCAUUUCCAUGCAUUCACCCAGAAUAUUUCAGCUAAUCCCCCCAAUUUUAUUUUUUUCCGCUCAUUGUCUGGUGUUAAGUGUUUUACCUCCGUGAUAAAAUGUAAGGUAACAUGGCCAUCGCGUAGAUCUCAUGAUUCCUCCAGUUAGGUUUUAACCAGCCAUCAUCCUUCCAGCCCGUUCCUUAGAUGUUCAGCCUCUGGCCCUCUUUCUAGUUGUGACACAAAAGGAGCUCUGCUCAGAGUUCUGGGAUUUGGUGCUGGUUCUGAGCUGAAGCCUGAAUCUGGCUGGCUGUGCCGAAGGAUCCUGUUUACAGACAAGCGGGUUAGAGUAAAUAAUUUCUAAAGCCCUUUUCCGCCUGACCAGAGUGUUGUUAAAGCAGUCACGUACCCUGACUGCUCACGUGACUUGGGUUUAGCCUCUGCACAUCUCUAGAGCUGCCAUCCAGAAAAAUCGGCAUGCUUGUGCCUUGAGACAGAGGGUGUCAUGGGAUUUUGAAGUUAUCUUUAUAGCGACAAUGAAAUGAAAACCGGCAGUAGAGCAGGAAAAUGCUUGGGAGAGAUGGUGUGCUUUUUUGAAAAUUCAUGCACAGUCCAGCCCUGUGGAGUAUUAGCCACAUCUCACAGAUAGGAAAACAAGAGACCCAAACAGGCAAAGCAUCUAGCCCAGGGCCCCUCGUUAGGGAGGAGCAGAGCUGGCAUUCCUGGGAAAUGUGGAUAUUUUAUGGUAAAUGAAAGCCUUAAUGAUUCCCCCUCCCCUCCUGUUCCCUAAGAUCCCACUGUCUCCUCCCAUUGUCACAGUUGCACUUGGUUUUGUUGCUGUCUUUCUUGGCUCCCUUCUUGUGGUUUCCAUCUCUGGUUGAUUGGGGCUGGAGCUGCCAGGUCUCCGAUUCCUGCCUGACACAAGGCUGUGCGCCCUCCCCCUUCGAUUUUAUUUACCUGCUUCCUCCUGUCCAUCCUCCUCGUUGGACCUUCACUGGUGUCAUGCCAAUUCAUGCUUUUCCUACUUUUUCUUUGAAUUUCUCAUUCACGUAUUACUACUCCAAUUUUUAUUUAUUUACUUAUUUAUUUUUAUUUUUUCUUCCAGUUUUACUAAGAUACAGUUGACAUAUGGCAACUGUAUAAGUUUAAAGUGUACAGCAAAUGAUUUGACUUACAUACAUCAUGGAAUGAGUAUCACAGUAAGUUUAGUGAACAUCCAUCCUCUCAUAUAGUUGCAAAA
rnacentral:lncRNA from 1 species